UUUAACAACUCAGAUUUUAUGUAACAUCGAAUGCUCUAAACUAUCACAUUACCUCACUGUCUUGAAACACAUCACAAUUCAUACAACGGUACAUUACUGAAAGUCAGGAAGUCUUUACUCAAUGUAGACUAGUCUAGUUCAGACGCUUCAGUUACCAAUAUUCUCAUCUAUCCGAACUCUGUCAACAUGUAAUAAACUUUUCAGCUUUCACAAGACGAAAACCUUAUCAUUUGUAGUGACUUUAACUAAUAUCCAAC
rnacentral:lncRNA from 1 species